ACGAGUAUGUAGCAGAGACCGAAUGUCGGAAACAGCAAAAUAUCGAAAGCAGAAAAGGUAAUUAACCAGUUAAGCUCUGGCGUUCAGACACCCGACCAAGCAAACUGUAGAACAACAAAUGAAACGAUAUACCGUUCAAAGUUUUAACACCAUCAAAAUUCAUUUACAAUGACGUAAUAUCUCACGCGAUUCCAGCGUGUCAGCACUAAAUUCGUGGCAUAUUCGUCGGUCACGUGUUGAUGAAGCGAAUUUCUGUGCCAAAGCUUGAGCCACCAGUGGGACUGGUUUGCCGAGUACACAUUUUAUUUUCAUUUUUUGUGUACAAGUAGCUACAUGUGUAUGGUAUUUAAGUAUGUCUAUAUAUUUUUAUGUGCGAGUAUGUAUCUCCAGUUCGUUGUGCAAACGAGUAAACAAGUAUGUAAGUGAAUAGUAUGUUUGGAUAUGGAUUACAUAUGUACACACUUACAGCCAUGAACAGUUUAAUAACAAAAUUAGCCAUCACCAGCCAUCAAUUCAAAUCGGGAGCCAAUGGAAUGUGUUAUGUGCCAAGGCCAGGUAAUAAUUGUCCACAUCUUCGUUAUGUAAGAAACAGGCCUCCUCUUCAGCUUUUAGAGGCUGUUAUGUGGCCAUGUUUGGAAUGGAAAAUGUCAUUGUAUUGGGCCUACCAAGAGGACAAUGACCCAAAGCAUACGGCUAAAUAUUUUAAGUCUUGGUUUAGUGCCACAAAUGUCAACGAAGUGAAACGGAAACUGCGGUCCCCGGAUCUGAGCUAAUUUGAAAACGUUGGUCUGACGUAGCCGGGGUUAUGAAUAGUUUUUCAAUUUCCCAUCGGACGCGGCUUUGUUGGAAAGCGGUUUCAGUUAUGACAGAGAGAAGAUGAAUUCAUUUCCGAUUGAUGAUGUCGAAAAUGAGAUGGUCCAGUAGUCACAUGCACCAAGUGGCGCAUUCUUACCCGACUUAUG